rnacentral:rRNA from 1 species
AGCAGCCGCGGUAAUUCCAGCUCCAAUAGCGUAUAUUAAAGUUGUUGCAGUUAAAAAGCUCGUAGUUGAAUUUCGGGAUCAGUGAGUCGGUCGUGCCACUGGUAUGCACUGGCCCUACUGGUUCCUCCUUCUUGAAGAACUGUAAUGCCAUUAAUUUGGUGUUGCAGGGAAACAGGACUGUUACUUUGAAAAAUUAGAGUGUUUAAAGCAGGCAAUCGCUUGAAUACAUUAGCAUGGAAUAAUGAAAUAGGACGAUCGAUCCUAUUUUGUUGGUUUCUAGGAUUGACGUAAUGAUUAAUAGGGAUAGUUGGGGGCAUUAGUAUUCAAUUGUCAGAGGUGAAAUUCUUGGAUUUAUUGAAGACUAACUACUGCGAAAGCAUUUGCCAAGGAUGUUUUCAUUAAUCAAGAACGAAAGUUAGGGGAUCGAAGACGAUCAGAUACCGUCGUAGUCUUAACCAUAAAC